rnacentral:rRNA from 1 species
AAUCUUCCGCAUUGGACGAAAUUCUGACGGAGCAACGCCGCGUGAGUGAUGAAGGUUAUCGGUUCGUAAAACUCUGUUGUUAGGGAAGAACAAGUAUCGGAGGAACUGCCGGUACCUUGACGGUACCUAACCAGAAAGCCACGGCUAACUACGUGCCAGCAGCCGCGGUAAUACGUAGGUGGCCAGCGUUGUCCGGAAUUAUUGGGCGUACAGCGAGCGCAGGCGGUCUUUUAAGUCUGAUGUGAAAGCCCCCGGCUCAACCGGGGAGGGUCAUUGGAAACUGGGAGACUUGAGUGCAGAAGAGAAGAGUGGAAUUCCACGUGUAGCGGUGAAAUGCGUAGAGAUGUGGAGGAACACCAGUGGCGAAGGCGACUCUUUGGUCUGUAACUGACGCUGAGGCGCGAAAGCGUGGGGAGCAAACAG